ensembl:lncRNA
AUACAAUGUUGUAAUUUGUUUUUCAACAAUUUUUUGAUUAAUGUUUUGUUUCCUUUACAAUAUUAUACAUUAAAGUAUAAUAUUGUAAAGGAAACAAAACAGGAAACAAAACAUCAAUCAAAAAAUUGCUCUCUUUUUUUAUUCAGGUUACUUAAAUUUAUUUUAGGCUACCAAAAACUGAAGAGUUCCUCCCCGAAGGGCUACCAGGGAUUUUGAAAUUUUGCGAGCCCUGAGAUAUAUUUAUUUAUUUUUAUUACUUUUUUGUUUCAGCAACAUUAAAUUUAAAAACUGUACUUUUGAGUUAAAAUAUAUAUUUAUAAUUUUAAUAAAUGACAAAUUAAAAAGGCAUGAACAUUUUUUUUUUGUAUCGAAAGAAUAUCGAACUGUGACACCAAAGUAUCGAACCAAACCGUGAAUUUUGUGUAUCGUUGCACCCCUAAUAUAUAUGUAUAUUUCUGAAUUUGGCUGUUGUUACGUUUCGGUGUUGUCAGUGUUUUGUUUUUGCGUGACUGUUAUGUGUUUCCUGUUUUACUUUGAAAGUCUGUUGUUAUCUUAGUGUGUUCAGUUUACGUUUCCUUGUCUCGUCAGUUCUAAUUUGCCCCAGCUGUGUUUCCCUCCUGUGGUCCAUUCCCUGAUUGCUCCUUCUAUGUAUUUAAGCCUUGUGUUUCUGUAUGUCAUGGUCGCGAUCUCCCCCCCGUUGUAAAUAGUUUGACGUCUGGUGUUUGGUGAUGUAAAUAAAUGUGGUGUUUUGCUUUAAAUCUCGUUUUGGGAUUAUUUUUAUUUUCCUUUUUUUUAUUUUUCUGCGUUGCACCCCGGUUGCCUAGGCCGGGGUGUAACAUAUGGGGGCUCGUCCAAUCGCUGGAGGGUCCGAGGGCCGCUUCGGCCUCCGUCUGUCUUCGCUGGAGGGCCCGGGGACCGCUUCAGCCGUCCGCCGUCGCUGGAGGGUCCGAGGGAGGGACCGCUUCAGCCGUCUGUCUUCGCUGGAGGGUCCGAGGGCCGGUCCAGCCUUCAUCCGCCUUCGCUGGAGGGUCCGAGGGACCGUCCCGGCCUUCGUCGUCUGCUGGAGGGUCCGAGGGACUGCUCCAGCCUUCAUCCGCCUUCGC